rnacentral:rRNA from 1 species
AUUGAACGCUGGCGGCAGGCCUAACACAUGCAAGUCGAACGGUAGCACCGAGCGCUUGCUCUCGGGUGGCGAGUGGCGGACGGGUGAGUAAUGUCUGGGACCCUGCCCGAUCGUUGGGGAUACCUCCUGGAAACGGUAGCUAAUACCGCAUAAUGUCGCAGGACCAUAGUGGGGGACCUUCGGGCCUCUUGCCAUCGGAUGUGCCCAGGUGGGAUUAGCUUGUUGGUGAGGUAAUGGCUCACCAAGGCGACGAUCCCUAGCUGGUCUGAGAGGAUGACCAGCCACACUGGAACUGAGACACGGACCAGACUACUACGGGAGGCAGCAGUGGGGAAUAUUGGACAAUGGGCGGAAGCCUGAUGCAGCCAGGCCGCGUGUGUGAAGAAGGCCUUCGGGUUGUAAAGCACUUUCAGCGGGGAGGAAGGCGAUACGGUUAAUAACCGUGUUGAUUGACGUUACCCGCAGAAGAAGCACCGGCUAACUCCGUG